UACGAAGGGGGCUAGCGUUGUUCGGAAUCACUGGGCGUAAAGCGCACGUAGGCGGACUGUUAAGUCAGGGGUGAAAUCCCGGGGCUCAACCCCGGAACUGCCUUUGAUACUGUCAGUCUCGAGCCCGGAAGAGGUGGGUGGAAUUCCUAGUGUAGAGGUGAAAUUCGUAGAUAUUAGGAAGAACACCAGUGGCGAAGGCGGCCCACUGGUCCGGUGCUGACGCUGAGGUGCGAAAGCGUGGGGAGCAAACAGG
rnacentral:rRNA from 1 species